rnacentral:rRNA from 1 species
UACGGGGGGAGCAAGCGUUGUUCGGAUUUACUGGGCGUAAAGGGCGCGUAGGCGGUCAGCACAAGUCAGUUGUGAAAUCUCCGGGCUUAACUCGGAAAGGUCAACUGAUACUGUGCGACUAGAGUGCAGAAGGGGCAACUGGAAUUCUCGGUGUAGCGGUGAAAUGCGUAGAUAUCGAGAGGAAGACCAGUGGCGAAGGCGGGUCUCUGGACAGUUCCUGACGCUGAGGCGCGACAGCGUGGGGAGCAAACAGG